rnacentral:rRNA from 1 species
GAGUUUGAUCCUGGCUCAGAAUGAACGCUGGCGGCAUGCCUAACACAUGCAAGUCGAACGAAGGCUUCGGCCUUAGUGGCGCACGGGUGCGUAACGCGUGGGAAUCUGGCCCUCAGGUUCGGAAUAACAGCGAGAAAUUGCUGCUAAUACCGGAUGAUAUCGCGAGAUCAAAGAUUUAUCGCCUGAGGAUGAGCCCGCGUAGGAUUAGCUAGUUGGUGUGGUAAAGGCGCACCAAGGCGACGAUCCUUAGCUGGUCUGAGAGGAUGAUCAGCCACACUGGGACUGAGACACGGCCCAACUCCUACGGGAGGCAGCAGUGGGGAAUAUUGGACAAUGGGCGAAAGCCUGAUCCAGCAAUGCCGCGUGAGUGAUGAAGGCCUUAGGGUUGUAAAGCUCUUUUACCCGGGAUGAUAAUGACAGUACCGGGAGAAUAAGCUCCGGCUAACUCCGUGCCAGCAGCCGCGGUAAUACGGAGGGAGCUAGCGUUAUUCGGAAUUACUGGGCGUAAAGCGCACGUAGGCGGCUUUGUAAGUUAGAGGUGAAAGCCUGGAGCUCAACUCCAGAAUUGCCUUUAAGACUGAUCGCUUGAAUCCAGGAGAGGUGAGUGGAAUUCCCGAGGUGUAAGGUGAAAUUCGUAGAUUUUCGGAAGAAACACCAGUGGGAAGGGGGGUCCCCUGGGACUGGUUUUGACGCUGAGUGCGAAAGGUGGGGGGCCAACCGGUUUAUACCCGGGUUCC